rnacentral:rRNA from 1 species
GCUGUGGAUCGGAGUGAAAGGCUAAUCAAGCUCGGAGAUAGCUGGUUCUCCCCCGAAAGCUAUUGAGGUAGCGCCUCGUGUCUCACUCCUGGGGGUAGAGCACUGUUUCGGCUAGGGGGCCAUCCCGGCUUACCAACCCGAGGCAAACUCCGAAUACCAGGAAGUGCAAUCACGGGAGACACACGGCGGGUGCGAACAUCCGUCGUGAAGAGGGAAACAACCCAGACCGCCAGCUAAGGUCCCCAAAUCAUGGCUCAGUGGGAAACGAUGUGGGAAGGCCCAGACAGCCAGGAGGUUGGCUUAGAAGCAGCCAUCCUUUAAAGAAAGCGUAAUAGCUCACUGGUCGAGUCGGCCUGCGCGGAAGAUUCAACGGGGGCUAAAAGCCAUGUACCGAAGCUGCGGAUGCUGUAAAGCAUGGUAGGGGAGCGUUCCGUAAGCCUGUGAAGGUAUCCUGUGAGGGGUGCUGGAGGUAUCGGAAGUGCGAAUGCUGACAUAAGUAACGAUCAUGCGGGUG